rnacentral:rRNA from 1 species
GGUUAAGCGACUAAGCGUACACGGUGGAUGCCCUGGCAGUCAGAGGCGAUGAAGGACGUGCUAAUCUGCGAUAAGCGUCGGUGAGGUGAUAUGAACCGUUAUAACCGGCGAUUUCCGAAUGGGGAAACCCAGUGUGUUUCGACACACUAUCAUUAACUGAAUCCAUAGGUUAAUGAGGCGAACCGGGGGAACUGAAACAUCUAAGUACCCCGAGGAAAAGAAAUCAACCGAGAUUCCCCCAGUAGCGGCGAGCGAACGGGGAGGAGCCCAGAGCCUGAAUCAGUGUGUGUGUUAGUGGAAGCGUCUGGAAAGGCGUGCGAUACAGGGUGACAGCCCCGUACACAAAAAUGCACAUAUUGUGAGCUCGAUGAGUAGGGCGGGACACGUGGUAUCCUGUCUGAAUAUGGGGGGACCAUCCUCCAAGGCUAAAUACUCCUGACUGACCGAUAGUGAACCAGUACCGUGAGGGAAAGGCGAAAAGAACCCCGGCGAGGGGAGUGAAAAAGAACCUGAAACCGUGUACGUACAAGCAGUGGGAGCCUCUUAAUGGGGUGACUGCGUACCUUUUGUAUAAUGGGUCAGCGACUUAUAUUCUGUAGCAAGGUUAACCGAAUAGGGGAGCCGAAGGGAAACCGAGUCUUAACUGGGCGUUAAGUUGCAGGGUAUAGACCCGAAACCCGGUGAUCUAGCCAUGGGCAGGUUGAAGGUUGGGUAACACUAACUGGAGGACCGAACCGACUAAUGUUGAAAAAUUAGCGGAUGACUUGUGGCUGGGGGUGAAAGGCCAAUCAAACCGGGAGAUAGCUGGUUCUCCCCGAAAGCUAUUUAGGUAGCGCCUCGUGAAUUCAUCUCCGGGGGUAGAGCACUGUUUCGGCAAGGGGGUCAUCCCGACUUACCAACCCGAUGCAAACUGCGAAUACCGGAGAAUGUUAUCACGGGAGACACACGGCGGGUGCUAACGUCCGUCGUGAAGAGGGAAACAACCCAGACCGCCAGCUAAGGUCCCAAAGUCAUGGUUAAGUGGGAAACGAUGUGGGAAGGCCCAGACAGCCAGGAUGUUGGCUUAGAAGCAGCCAUCAUUUAAAGAAAGCGUAAUAGCUCACUGGUCGAGUCGGCCUGCGCGGAAGAUGUAACGGGGCUAAACCAUGCACCGAAGCUGCGGCAGCGACACUAUGUGUUGUUGGGUAGGGGAGCGUUCUGUAAGCCUGUGAAGGUGGCCUGUGAGGGUUGCUGGAGGUAUCAGAAGUGCGAAUGCUGACAUAAGUAACGAUAAAGCGGGUGAAAAGCCCGCUCGCCGGAAGACCAAGGGUUCCUGUCCAACGUUAAUCGGGGCAGGGUGAGUCGACCCCUAAGGCGAGGCCGAAAGGCGUAGUCGAUGGGAAACAGGUUAAUAUUCCUGUACUUGGUGUUACUGCGAAGGGGGGACGGAGAAGGCUAUGUUGGCCGGGCGACGGUUGUCCCGGUUUAAGCGUGUAGGCUGGUUUUCCAGGCAAAUCCGGAAAACCAAGGCUGAGGCGUGAUGACGAGGCACUACGGUGCUGAAGCGACAAAUGCCCUGCUUCCAGGAAAAGCCUCUAAGCAUCAGGUAACAUCAAAUCGUA